ACACACACACACACACACACACACACACACACACACACACACACACACACAAAUGCCUGCUAGCCGCUUCUCAAGGCGGCUCAGCGCCCUCUGGCGGCCUCAGGUCGCCUUGAACCCGGCACGACCGCUAGUCAUGCGCCCAGAGUCAGCAGAGCCAGUGCAGCCCGAUGGCUGGGAAGUGUCCACUCAGUUCUGGAAAAGAACUGGGAAAGGAGCCUUCUCAAAGGGAAGCCCUGGUUCCAUUUUCUGUUUUAGUUUGCUUGUUUGUUUUAGUUUUUUCAGACAGGGUUUCUCUGUUUUGCCCUGGAUGUCUGGGAAGACCAGGCUGGCCUCGAACUCAGAGAUCCAUCUGCUUCUGCCUCCAAAGUGCUGGGAUUAAUGGUGUGUGCCACCAUGCCAGGCUCCUUGUUCCAUUUUCAACGGAUGCCCGAAAUCUUACUGACACAGCACCACCCCUUUAUCUGCAGUUUGAUUUCUUUUUAUUCAGCCCCAGCCCUUCAGAGUUGAUGGUGAAGAACCCCAGACUCUGCUGAAGGCUUCCUAUGAAGUUCAGACCACAGAAAAUGAUGGCAUCAAGCACAGAUGAAAAGGAACAGUGUGUAACUGUGUGUGCUCAGGCACCAUUAAUAUGUGUUGAGCAUUUCACAGAGCAAGUUCACAGACACGCAUGUGUCCUGCAGAGUGAGAGCAGAGACAAAAGAUCCUGAAGUCCUGUGAGAGAUCUGUGGGCAGUGGUCACUCAGACCUGGGCCAAGGAUGGGGUUCUUCUGUGAUGAUGGGAGAAAGUGUCCUGGACAAACAGGGGAGAGCAUGGAUGUGGAGCUGUGUGCUGUGUGCAAGGCUGAGCAGGGAGAGCACGGAUGUGGAGCUGUGUGUGAAGGCCGAGUCCUUCGUCUCUUCUGUUUUUACCUGUUUCAUCUGUAAUCGGGCUCUUCCUAGAGGACCAGCUCCCUCCUGCCUCCUGGUGGUGGCUAACCUCUUCACAGUCUUUCCCGUCAAGUGGUUGGAUGCUGAUCCUACCCAGCACAAUGGCCUCUUCUUGAUGAAGCUGCCUAAGUGGUCAGACUUCCCGGAAGAAGGAGACAUGUGGGCUCAUGAUCUCGGAGGUUUCAGUCCAGGUCAGCUGGAUCUGUUGCUUUUGACCUUGCUGGGGUGGAAAUCAUUGCCACAGGUGUGUAUGCGACAGAGGCUGCUCGACACAUUUUGGCUAGGAAGCAGACAGUGGAGAAGGGGCAAGGGACUGUGAGAUAAGGAGGAAAACAAGCCUAGCAGAGUGCUGGUUUCCCACAGACCGGUCCUGAGCUAUAUUUCAGGUAUCUGGUCCAUUAGUAACACUGGUCACUCCAAGUAGGGAAACCCAGGCGUGGUGGAGAGUCAACAGCAACUGAAGAAAGAAGGCAUUUGCUUACAUUAUGGACUCAAGAGGGAAAAGGAUCUCUGAGCGGAGAGGUCUCUGAGUUUGGAGGUUAGUGAAGGUACUGGGUAGGACACCUACACAGGAAUUUAGGGAGCUCUCUUGUCCCAUCCUACCUGGGAGCUGCCACAUGCUAGGCGUUUAUCGUUUGGGGAAGGGACUACAGAUAGGAUGUAAGGUGUGCCUGAUGCCCUCUAGUGGGGAAGCCUCUGUGAUCUAAUAGGGGUGAGAUGAAUCUUCCCAGGGCAUGCUCGCAGUCACCUAUGUCUUCUAGGUGACUGAGAGCAUGCCCUUUCCAAGAUACCCCAUAAUAUGCCAUCAUAACAUGAAUCCAACAGGAGAUUAGAUUAGAUCAGAGCCCCCAGAGUCCAUUAUCAGCUGGCUACUGGGCUCCCAAUACCUGAACCUGCUUGGAAUUUUCUGUGUCAGAGUCAUGGCACUGCCACAUGUUAGGUCUCAAACCUGGGACAAAGGGCUAAUGGAGGGGUCGAUUUAACAUAUCAAAAUGUACCUGGCUGCCAGGUUCUACUAGUGUCCCCUAGUCUCUACCUGUUAGAGGGUAUGGCUGGCAUAACUCCCCAGCCAAGGGACUGGGCUGCCUUCCCAUGAGGCUCUUCCCUAUAUAAUCCAGCCGUUUUGGUUACCUGGUCCACCCUUUACUCUCCUGGCUCUCCCCUCUCUUCAUGUGGCCCAGUUCAGGGUCACUGUAAUAAUUUGAAUGCAGUUGGUUCCCAAACGCUCAUAGGGAGUGGCGCUAUUAGGAAGUGUGAUCUUGUUGAAAUAUGCAUGGCUUAGUUGGUGGAAGUGUGUCACUUCCGGGGCAGACUUUGAGGUCUCCUAUGUUCAACUUAAGUCUAAUUCAGUCCACUUCCUGUUGCCUACAGAUCAAGAUGUAGGACUUUCAACUCCUUCUGCAGCACCAUGUCUGCCUGCAUGCCACCGUGUUCUGCCAUGAUGAUAACGGACUAAGCCUCUGAACUGUAAGUGAGCCAUCCCAAUUAAACAUUUUCUUUAUAAGAGUUGCUAUGGUCACGGGGGAGGGCCUAGGCCCUGCUCCAAAUGAUAUGACAGACUUUGAAGACCCCCCCAUGGAAAGUCU
ensembl:lincRNA